CGCGAAUGGCUCAUUAAAUCAGUUAUGGUUCCUUGGAUCGUACCUUACUACUUGGAUAACUGUGGUAAUUCUAGAGCUAAUACAUGCAGCAGAGCUCCGACCUUCGGGGACGAGCGCUUUUAUUAGACCAAAACCAAUCGGACUCUGUCCGUCUCUUGUGGUGACUCUGAAUAACUUUGGGCUGAUCGCACGGGCCCGUCCCGGCGACGUAUCUUUCAAGUGUCUGCCUUAUCAACUUUCGAUGGUAGGUUACGCGCCUACCAUGGUCGUAACGGGUAACGGGGAAUCAGGGUUCGAUUCCGGAGAGGGAGCCUGAGAAACGGCUACCACAUCCAAGGAAGGCAGCAGGCGCGCAAAUUACCCACUCCCAGAACGGGGAGGUAGUGACGAAAAAUAACAAUACGGGACUCUUUUGAGACCCCGUAAUUGGAAUGAGUACACUCUAAAUCCUUUAACGAGGAUCCAUUGGAGGGCAAGUCUGGUGCCAGCCGCCGCGGUAACUCCAGCUCCAAUAGCGUAUAUUAAAGUUGUUGCGGUUAAAAAGCUCGUAGUUGGAUCUCAGUUCCAGACGGGUGGUCCGCCUACCGGUGGUUACUGCCUGUUCUGAACAGCCAGCCGGUUUCUCUUGAUGAUCUUCACCGGUUGUCUUGGGUGACCGGCAAGUUUACUUUGAAAAAAUUAGAGUGCUCAAAGCAGGCGCGACGCCUGAAUAAUGGUGCAUGGAAUAAUGGAAUAGGACCUCGGUUCUAUUUUGUUGGUUUUCGGAACACGAGGUAAUGAUUAAGAGGGACAGACGGGGG
rnacentral:rRNA from 1 species